rnacentral:lncRNA from 1 species
CCCCACAACCAAUAAUAUAAAAUUAGGGAAAACAAAAACAAACCCAUAAUUACAAACCCUCCAAAAUAAAUACCCAAAUAAAAAAAUUCAAAAUUUCCUUGCUUUUCACCGUUUUUUUUUCUUCAAAUACAGUGAAGCUUGUUGUGGUGGUUUUCCAGAUACGAAUUUAUUUUGUUGUUGUGAUGUUCCAGAUCUCAACUUUUAGGAAGAAAAGAUUGGUGAAGAUGAAUGAUUUGUUUGAAGAACACAUAAAUGAAUGAAUGAAGAUGAAUAGCUGGGUUUCACA